AGCUGCGUUACAGAGCAGAACGGGAACUGAGGAGCCUGCAGUGGAAGAGUUACAAGCCACAGUGUCAGGCAAGAAGGCUAUACCAUAGGCAAAUCAGCUGCAUAGGCUCAGUCAUUGUUUUGACUGAAGACAAGGAAAACCAAAACAAACACCUUAUGCAGAAGAUAUAGAGCUAUUUUGAAGAGCUUCCUUUACAAAUGCUCCUCUUGGGACCCAGUCUCUUACAUAGAGUGGAUCUCUUGUCUGAACCAUCCUUCUCUGUGAACAGGAAUUUAAUACAAAUAUAAACAAUAUGCCUCAAAUUAAUAACAUCUGAACUUGGAAAAUCUGUGAGCAACUGAAG